UUGGAGAAGUUCUACGGCCUGUGUUAUGCAGGAGAUCAGACCAGACCAUCCCUUCUGGUCUUUGAAUUUAUGAAAAAAACAAUUUUUUACUUGUAUUGUUACUGUUGUUCUUAGAGAUGAGGUGCAGACAUGCAUUCCACAUAGGUAUACACCCACCCAGGCUAGACUCUCGCUGGUUAUAUAAGGAUAGCACUGACCAGACCCCCUCAGAUGUCAAGAGUAUAAAGUCUGAUGUAGAGGCGACAGAGAAUGGUUGUGGAAUACACACCUGCAACUCAGCUCAAAGAACAGUUACAAUAUAGGAAAGUAACCAUUUUUCUUCUUUGAAGAGAUGCAGCUAUGUUCCAUGUAGGCAGCUCACAAGCAGUACCCUUGAAUGACUUUACAGAUGGAGCACUGUUCCUUAAUGUACCGAGACACGAGCACCUUGGGUAGGGAUCACUAUUAGGGCUGGCCCCCACACACAACGACCAAUGCUUGAGCCUUGGUUAGGGAAUCACACAGGGCAGCCAACUACUCUAACUCUUAAACCUAAGGUACUACUAGCCAUCAUCUAGAGCAGUGGUUCCCAAACUUGUUCCUCUGCUUGUGCAGGGAAAGCCCCUGGCGGGCUGGGCCGGUUUGUUUACCUGCCGAGUCUGCAGGUUCGGCCGAUCGCGGCUCCCACUGGCCACGGUUCGCUGCUCCAGGCCAAUGGGAGCUGCUGGAAGCAGCACAGGCCGAGGGACAUACUGGCCACCGCUUCAGGGGUCUGAAAGAAGACUAUGUUCUGGAGGAGAAAGGGAGAGGAAGGAUCCUGGACUCCUUUGAAGACUCUGACCAUAUUCCAAAGAACACUCAAGAGUGGUGAGGAAAAUGAAGCAAGAAAUAGCAUAUUGGUGUUUAUUAUUUUGCAGGGAUCUGCAUAUCUCUUGUACAGUCUAAAGUAAAUUGAUUCGUUUUAAAUAUCCUUCUGCAAAGUCUGUGUCUACUGGCUUCACUGUCACAUGUCCCUGAAGGGAUAAACUAUAAACCAGCAUGCACGUAAGAGGAGUAAGGCUUUGCUUAAGCCACUGGGAGACCUGGAAGGUUCAGCACUGGUCUUGGGGUCUCACCUAGGGCAGCUGGGCCAUGGGGUCCCACUUCCAAAAAGGAUACUUGACUGAGUCUGGGACCAGCAAGCAUUCCAGAGGCCAGAGCCAGACAUAAUGUCUGAAGCCUACCGUGACUGGGCCUACCGUGACUCAAGGGAACUUGCAAGUACACAGGCCCAAUGUGCGAGUCCAAACACAGCAGCCUGGUGAGUGUUUAGCAAAGGGCUGCUUGACCAGGGCUGUGACACCAGGUCUCAGAGGCCCAAAUCUCAGCCACUUUUCCACACAAGUCUUUCAGGAGUAACACAGCAAAUUACAUGUUUCUGUAACCCACACUAAUAGCAUUAUUCUGUGUCACCCUCUAGGAGCUGAACCACAUAUAGGAAUGUACGACAUGAUACUGCUUUGAUACUAAGAGACAUGGCUCCUUUGCUCAAGUAAUAUAGGGCGAUACUUCAUCCACAGGUCCCAGAUUCAGUUCCCUGUAGAUUGCAGAAACAGAGUCAUUGUUACAUCUGCCUAUUCUGUCUGUAACCACUAGGCCACAGUCUGAUCCCAGAGCUGGGCAGAGAAACCAAGAAUUCUGAUGGUCAUUGUUCCACAGCUGUCUCUCAAAUAUUUAUGUCAUGUAUACUUCUGUAAAGUAACUAGCAGUGUGCAUGUCAUGCCUCCUGGUACAGGCUAGUCCACAGAGAACAACAGCAUGCUUUCUGCCCCUCUGCUUAUUCCUAUAGCAGACACUGAAGAUAUCUAUGCUCUAUGGCAGAGGUUCUCAAACUGGUCCGCAGACCAUAGUUCCUUUUAAGGCGCACCUGGGCAGCAGCACACAAGAGAAUGAAGAGCCACCCACCUAUUUAAUGGAGCCAUGGCAGGUGUGGCUCCACUUAUUAGGUGCCUGGACCCUGGAGAAGAUGCACAUGUAAGGAGCUGCUCCGUUAAGGGUUUGUGGCAGACAGAGAAGCUUGAAGGAGAUUUUGCCUGCGUUUCCAGAGAUUGGAAGAGGCUGCUUGCAUAAGCUACAAAAAGGUUACCGGUUUGGAUGCUACCCAGCUCAGAAAGGAUUAAAAAUUGUUCCCAUCUGAUGGAUGUUUGGUAGCCCCUGCAUGAGUAUGGCAAGUCGCAGUUCCAGUUCCCAAUAUCACCAUUACACUUUGAACUAGAUUGAUCCCUUGCGGGCAGGGCCUGGUUCUUACUAAGUGUUUGUACCUACCACUAUAGGGCCCAAAUCUAAGUGGGGUCCUCCAGCUAAACCUCCUGCAGUGGGGGCCAGUCACCUUGCUAUACAUUUGUGAGAGUUGGGAAGACUAAUGUCACAUGCACACAGGAGUCUGGGCAUGGGGAGUUCAAAAAAAAAAAAAAAAAAAUCAAAGGACAGACCAAAAAAACCAGGCCUUACAUUUUUUUUUUUUUUUUAAAAAGUCUCAAUUUCAGGGUCAAUCUCAGUUUUUUGGGGACAAACAUGUUAUUUUUGUAUGUGUGGGGUUGGCAGUGGUGCAAUUGGUUGUAAGCAGGGACAGGUCACUGUGAGAAGGUCAAAUGUCCUUUGUAAUCCUGCAAUAUUGUACGGCUUGUUGUGUAUGAAGUCUUUCACUUAUCGUUAUCACUAAAAAACCAACAAGAAGGGAGCAAAGAAAGAGGGCUAACUACACGGCACAGAUAACACUAACCCACUAAGUUGCAGAGCAGCACUGCUAACAGCCCACUGAUUCAACAUGGAACUAAGAAACAGAAAACAAAAUUUUAGAUGUGAAAGCAGUCACUGCAGAGCAUGCAAAAGUCAUGUUCACUGUAAUCUAGAAUAGGUUAUGUGGUUUGUUUGGGUUAUAGCCUUCUGUACAAUACAACGGCAACCAGGGUAUUUUUCAGUUCUGCCCCUCUAUUACUGCAUUUGCUUCCUGUU